GUCUACAGCCAUACCACCCUGAACAUGCCCGAUCUGGUCUGAUCUUGGAAGCUAAGCAGGGUCAGGCCUGGUUAGUACUUGGAUGGGAGAAAUAAUGCAUGAAAAUA
rnacentral:rRNA from 1 species